UUAUAUUAGAAAGAAGAAUGUAUUUAUUUAUUUUGGCAAACUCUGGCAUCGACCCUCCUUUAAACUCAAGUGAGGAAAUGGGAAGCCUUGGUUUCUGGAUUCGAGAGACUGACUGGUCAGGCCAUUGAUCGCCUCCAGGAGCAGCGUCUCUCUCUUUCCCAUUUUCAUUUUCUUCAUUCUGAUCCCUAAUUUCUCCAAUAUUAUCUAUCAUGAUUCUUUUCCACUCUAAAUUCUACCCUUAUUCGAUUCGAUUCGUAAGCAAAGGGAUUAGUGUGCUGUGUUUACUGUUUUGCUAUUAUGCUAAGAAAUAUGUCAAGUAAUUGUCUUCCUUGUUGUGUUUAGUUUCUAGGCAUCGAACUUUGAUGAACGUAUUUGAUAAGGCUCCUGUCGUUGAUAAGGAUGCAUUUGUUGCUCCAAGUGCCUCCGUCAUUGGAAUAGGAUCAUCCAUUUGGUAUGGAUGUGUCUUGAGAGGUAUGGGCAGGCAAUCCCGCAAAGUUCCUAAGAAAGCUAGCUGAUGAACAGAAAGCUUUCAUCUCCCAGUCAGCCACCAAUUAUACUAACCUUGCACAGGUCCACGCAGCCGAGAAUUCAAAGCCCUUUGAUGAAAUUGACUUUGAGAAGGUGCUGCGAAAGAAGUUUGCACGUAUAGAUGAGGAGUACGACUCUAUGCUAGGUGUUGUUCGUGAGAUCCCACCAGAGCUUAUGCUUCCUGAUAAAGCAGAAAAAGCUCUUCAAAAAUGAGGUAUUUGAAAAAGAAAUGGCUUCUAUUCCAAUCAUGAAAUGACAUCAAGGACUUUCUUUGUUUUUUGCAAAUUCAUGGAAGAGGGAUUCUUUUCAUUCGCGACAAUACCCGACAAUUUCUGCGCUAGAAUUGUGGCAUGUAGCUCGUUACGAUCCCAGGAAGCAACUGUUCCAUAAUAUUUUGAAUUCUGUUCUCUAGUUUGGGAAAGGCAAGUGCCCCGUAGGAUCAUGUAUGCUGAUCUUUAGUGUUUGAUGUAUCCAAUGUAAGUGAUUUCACAUUUUUUUUCCCAUGAUCUUUAUGUUUAAGACAUUAUUCGUCGACUUAGUUCAUAAGUUCUCAUUGACGUCUUUAUGAGGACACCGACGCCUCUGUAUUGUCAUCAGUGUGGAUACAUGCAUCCAACUUCCUUUUUAAACUCAGGAUUCUUGUUCGUUUUUUACAA